rnacentral:tRNA from 1 species
GGCGCUGGGGCUCAGUGGCAGAGCGCUUGCCUCGCAUGCAUGAGGCUCUGGGUUCCAUCCUCGGCACCA